rnacentral:rRNA from 1 species
AUACAGAGGGUGCGAGCGUUAAUCGGAAUUACUGGGCGUAAAGCGCGCGUAGGCGGUUCGACAAGUGGGGUGUGAAGGCCCAGGGCUUAACCUUGGAACUGCAUUCCAAACUGUCGGACUAGAGUAUGGUAGAGGGAGGUAGAAUUUCCUGUGUAGCGGUGAAAUGCGUAGAUAUAGGAAGGAAUACCGGUGGCGAAGGCGGCCUCCUGGACCAAUACUGACGCUGAGGUGCGAAAGCGUGGGGAGCAAACAGGAUUAGAUACCCCAGUAGUCC